GGUUCGUUAGCUCAGCCGGUAGAGCAUCUCCCUUUUAAGGAGAGGGUCCUAGGUUCAAGUCCUAGACGAGCCACCA
rnacentral:tRNA from 1 species